CUUCCCAACUUAGGAAAUGAUCAAACCAGGAUCCACAGACAACUGAAGAGAAAGCCCAUGUAAAAGAGAUUUAUAUAAACUUUAUUCAUAAAUAACUCUGAUGUUAGGUACAUCACACAUUUAGGGGAAUGAUCCCUUGGUAACAUGUACCCUGUAUUCCUCUAAACCAGAUUCAAUUCUUUUUGUGAAGUGACUCAAACUUACAAUCCAAAGAGGUUACCAUUCUUUUUGGAAUUUGUUUUUGUAUCAGAGAUGAAGAUACUGCUCUGAGAUAUGAUUCUGUAGUGGAAACAGCCUCCAAAUCUAAGGAAAGGCCAGUAAUGAAGGAAAAUGUACUGGCCUAACAAGGUCUGAGUAUCUCAGCAAAUGUCUGCAUGUCUGUGGUCACAGCUAGAAAUACGAUCACUUCACAAGGAAACAAAAUAAGGAGUCUGUUAAAUGGAGCACACUGUUAGCUCUGUUUUGUCCCAGCAGAGGGAAAUCUGUAUUAUUUUUAAAAGUCAAAGAAGAAUUAUGUAAAGAAGUUAUGUACAUACAUCAUUUAGCCAAAAACAUAGAUAACAUGGUUUUAUAGUUGACUCAUAGUAGUUGUUUUGUCUGAAUGCGCCUUUUGGUGAACCAUGGGAGGAGAGAUAAAUUUCAGCUUUCUUUUAAAAAACAAAAUUCUGACCUUUCUGGUUGAAAGACAAGAUGGACUGCAUUGAAAGCUGAGUUGAAAGACUCCUGUAGGGUGAUGAGAAGAGGCUUGGACAGAGCAAUCACAGCAAGCAUUCUCCAGAACUGUGACUGCUUUAUAACUGCUACCAGAAAAGUAUAAUACUGUAAUGGGCAUCAUUUUGGUUGCAAACCUUGAGAAGUAAUUAAGUAUUUUGCUGAAUGCUUCAGUCUGGAGCCGUCUCCUGCACACAAAGCACUGUUUAACUGCAAGGCACGCGUGCUCCACAGUGUUCAAUUAAAUCCUGCUCUCCUGGUCAGCCAUGCUGGGGAUGUGGCCAACGACAGCAUAGAAUAGCCCUGUUGGCUUCAGGGGUACAGCACACAGCCUCGGAGACUCCAGGGGCAGCAUCACAGUGGUCUCUGUGUGUCCUCACCCUUGUUCUGAACUGAGUUUAGCUCUGCAAGAGUACUACAGGAUCUGAAUCAAGCAUCAUAACCUUCAUAUGUUUCUAUUGGGAGCAAAAAUGAAAAACUCUCUCUCUCAGUAUCACCUCUUACAUAAAUUUCUGUUGUAACCAACGUAGUUAUCUUUUUAUGCCAUGCAUAAGCACACAGAAAAUAGAAGGUGGCCUCUAAUUUAUAGAUAAACGGGAGAUGCUUUUAAAAUUUAAUAUAACCCUCUUUUCUUUUUUUCACUAUUGUAUGCUCGGAGUUGCUACUAAACAAGCCAAGAUCCUGCACAUCACUGAAGCACAUGCCUUAGGGCUGCUCUGAACUAGGAACACAAGAUCUGAGCCAAAGCCCACACAAGCCAGUAGACGAGUUGACUUCUGGAGCUUUGAUGGUCUUCACAAAGCUUCAGUAGGAGGGGCAGAGUAUCUUCACCCCCAGAACAGCCUUAUUGCCAGCCUAACUGUCAAAGAAAAGUGAAGUCAGCAAGCCCAGAUCUUCUCACCUGUGUUGCCUAUAAAGUUGCCCUGCAACAGCUACUGUCUGCAAAAUCUGCCCUGUGCCAUCAAUAAAUUGCAAAUUCCAGUUAUGCAGGGCCAGGUGGGGGUGAAAGUAAUGGAAAAUAUGCUCUGGAGAGAUGUCCCCUAUCACUAGGAAUGAGAGGAGGCAGGGGACUCUUUCCAGGAGGUAAUCAAGUGAGUCAGUACAAGGGUACAAGAAACACAAAGAUACUGAUGCUCAGGUGGGAGUUGGGAGAUCUCUCGGUGCUGAGGAACUCAACAUUUUUCUCUUGCUCUCAACCUGAAGACCUAAGCCAUCGCUUCUUAUUUUAGGGCCUAAAUCCUUAAAAAUCUAUCCUCUGUCAACAGAUUUCACUUUGGUUACUUCAGGUAUACAAAGGAUGUUCAGAGGCAUAAUGAUUCCCAUUUCUCUGUUAUUCUGAACAACUCUAUUAGUCUGAAAACAGAGAUCUUGCAAGUUUUAUUUUGCUGUCGUCAUUCCAGCCAUAUGCAUUUAGUGCAAGCUAA